CACGUUUUUAUAUUAAGUUCGUGGGCCACGUGGACACCGUCGAACUUAACCCAAAAACCUAAAUCCCCAGCCCGCCCAUACGACUCUCUUCUUUCUCGCCCACUGCCGCACGCACUCCACCGCGCCGCCGCCAGCCACCGCGCUCGCUAAUUCCAUUCCAUGUGGCUUCAUCCGCACCGGCGCUCACGAAACCAAACCAGCAAAGCUCGGCACGUGAUCCUCCGUGGCGUGCGCGCGCGCCACAUCCCCGCGCCCUCUUGUCUUGUCUCCCACAACGGGUGUUGCCAAGGUCCAAGUCCAAGGCCGUCAGGACUUUGACGACGGGCAGGUCAGCCGGUCUCCUCCCAUGGGUAAGCACUAAGCAGGCUAUUGCUGGCUUUCAGUUCAGGCAGGCCACUGUUAGGUCCGAACCAAACACCGCAGCCGCAUUGUGGCUCUCAGUGAGUCUUGCUCGCCCGAGAAGCUAGAACACGAGAAGCGACCGUGGAAUUUCUGGAGAAGCCGCCGCUGCGUUCAGCAGAGCGGAGCUACAGUACGCGUGUUAUAGUCCUGCUAUACUUGCACUAGCAUUUUAUUUUAGUAGUAGUUGACAGUCGUGAUGCUCCAACCACCAGAUUUUGACAUGGCCUACCGUCAACACAACUAUGUUCAAUUAUCCGAGGGAUGGAAAAAUUCGGCUACGGUUUCCUCUAGGAAAGGUCGCAGAGCACCAGCGGGCACCUUCGCAGGCAGUCCGCAGACGAUGCGGUGGUCACUAGUCUGUCCGUCCGGUCAGGCGGAAGCGGUGGCGCCUCCACUAAUCAUUUGGUUUGCCUGGCUUUUGCAUUCUUCGCGGUUGUUGUACUGUGCAAAAAAUACCAUGCUGCUGAAAUAUGCAUGAUUUUUUCAAAUACAAUUUCACCUCCAUUUACAGACUUCAGUAGUGAUCAAAGCACGACACAUUGUAUCUCAUGCUGCUAAGUUUUGAGAUGACCAUACAUGUCUCUUAUGAUUGUGCAGGAAUUAGAGAAAUCGAAGCCUGUCAUACUAACUGGUGACCUUAAUUGUGCGCAUCAGGAGAUUGAUAUACAUGACCCUGCUGGAAAUCGUAGAAGUGCAGGCUUCACAAACGAGGAAAGAGAAUCAUUUGGGACCAAUUUUUUGUCCAAAGGGUUUGUGCUGGCAGGUGCUCUAAAUGCUCAUAAUAAACUAGAAAAAGAACAUGAUGGCUGCCGAAGUUUGCGUGGGCAAUCAGGGGUUUCCUUCUCUCGAGUCCUAGCAGAAGUGUUGAAGAAUUGAUUGAGUAUUCAGCACGGUGGAAUUUUCAGAUUUGCAGAACUUCGAAGUGAAAUACUGACUGAAGUGCCUGAAAAUACAAGGUUCUGUUUUCUCCACACAAUUUUGAUUCGUCCAUCUGUACUCUUUUAUUCUUAGAAAAUAAGUUAUUACAUGAGUCAGAUAGAAACUUCCUUUUUCAUGGGAAUUUUUCUUGGUGCACGGACAAAACUGCUGCUAGCACUAGCACUGCUGCUUUGCACUCUGAGAUUGUCGAUUUUAUCAAGCCAGCUUUGGGGAAGCUUGAAGGUGAAUAUGUGACCAAUGACCUUUAUGACCUCAAUGCUUGUAUUUAGUACGUGACGAAUUUGUGAUUGCAACUGGAGUCAUUGCUUGCUGCUAUUUUUCUUUGGUUGUCACCAGAGCAGAGACCCAGUUUGGUGCAUAUACAUUAGCUGAAUAUUGGCACUGUAACACUGUCACUUAUUGGAGGAUUAUUUUUCGACGAUGUUUGCAAUGGAUGCAAGAAUCUUGCCCGUCAUUUCAUUUCAUCAUUUGUUCUUAGUUCUUACCAUUGGAGAAACAUAAAUACAUAUAUAGUGCCAUAACUACUAUGUAAUUGACAAAAAAAAUUCUUUCAUCUGACACACACACCACAUAAGAUGACAGUUGUGGCUAUUCCUAGAUGUACAGUAAAUUGCAGCACAUAUGUCCUUUUCUCAAGAGGUCAUUGCUAUAUUUUAACACAUUGGUUUUUGUGGCGUAGGAUAAAAUCAUUGUUGGUUCAACAUCAUGAAUGACACUUGGCAUCGUUUGUUCUAAGUUUCAUGUUGUGCAUUGUGUUUAAGGUCCCAUAUCAUGCCGCAAGCAGUGUAAUAUUAAGCAUGUUGGUCACACCUUGUGUAAGUAAUUCUUGUUAAUGACGCUCUUAGUCUUUUAUUUUUCUUGUCCAUUGAGACAUGUGAACAGAUCUUUUUUCUAUUGGCUAUUCUUCAACAGAUAAGAAGCAUCAUAUCAAAGAAACUGGGGCCUUUUGAGCAGGUAAAAAACAUGGAUGAAUCACAAGCAACUUCCUAAUAUAUAUGAAUGCAAAUGAAGUUUUGCAUUAUUUAACUUUUAAUCAAGGGAAUGGUCCAAGGGUGCAUCACUGGAAUAAGCUCGAGACCACAAGUGUCAUAUAUCCUCUAAUCUUUACUCUCUCAGCUUCAUAGUAUGGUGUCUAUCAGAAGCUACGCCUUUCUACUUAAAAGGUUUCAGCCAUGGCUGUGCUGAAUUUGCAACGGUAGGUUCCAGUUGAAUACGUUCAUUGCUACAAUGAAGCCGUUUUGU